UUCGCUUGUUUAUCAAAAACAUGUCUUUUUGAGUAUAAUUUAAAGUCUAACCUGCCCACUGAAAUUAAUUUAAAGGGCCGCGGUAUACUGACUGUGCAAAGGUAGCAUAAUCAUUUGUCUUUUAAUUGAAGGCUGGAAUGAAUGGUUGAAUGAAAUAUUAACUGUCUCAUUAUUAAAAAUUUAAUAAUUUAGCUUUUAAGUCAAAAGGCUUAAAUAAAAUUAAAGGACGAGAAGACCCUAUAGAUCUUUAUAUUUAUUAAAUUUUUAUAAAUUAGUAAAAUAUUUAAUGAAAAUUUAUAUAAUAUUUUAUUGGGGUGAUAGGAAAAUUUAAUAAACUUUUUAUAUUUAAUAUACAAUGAUUUUUGAAUAAUUGAUCCAUUUUUAGUGAUUAAAAGAUUAAGUUACCUUAGGGAUAACAGCGUAAUUUUUUUUGAGAGUUCAUAUCGAUAAAAAAGAUUGCGACCUCGAUGUUGAAUUAAAGGUUAUUUCUAGAUGCAGAAGUUUAGAGUUUAGGUCUGUUCGACCUUUGAAUCUUUACAUGAUCUGA
rnacentral:rRNA from 1 species